rnacentral:lncRNA from 1 species
ACAUUUUAACCAGAAUCCAAACUUUUCUUCAGAGCGCAUACGAAUAGACUACAUAUUAAAAUAGGUUUAGCUGUCAAUGAGCCCAUUAAAACACAGCCGAGGGACGUUUUUGCUGUCUUCUCAAGCUCAGCGCACUUUUUGCCCUCUGUAAACUCAACUGCCUCCAUGAACUCAGCCAUGGCGUGGCGUUGUUUUGAGUUACUUAUGUUCAGACAGAAUUUUUAUGUAUACUAGCUAUAUUAACAGGGAUCAGGAAGACGUCCCACUGUGCAUGUCUUCACGGGACCGAACAACCAAUUAAAAAAUUAGGAAAGAAGGACAACUAUUUUCCAUCUAUUUUUGCACAUUUCAUUUUGGGGGAAGCUUUUAGGCGCGGCUUCACUCAUAUAGGAAGAGAUAAGAGGACUGCCCAUUAACUAUAUCAAGAAAUAACUUCACAUUUACCAAGCUGAUCGCAAAAACUAACUUGGACCCCGGACGUUUUUAGGGAAUUUAAAACAACUGUUGCUUAUCGACAGCGGCAAAUCUAAACGGGUUUUCUGUUGGACUCCGGCUUGAGUUUACCAUCUAUUUUUCAAUGUACAUUCUCUGUUCUCUUGUAUGCGGCUUUUGCUCAGAUAAACCCAAGGUAUACCAGGGUGUGCGUGUGAAGACCACUGUUAAGGAGUUACUGCAGAAGCACAGAGCCCUGCAGGCACAGACAACCGCAACGAAAUCACAAGCCAUGGCUGCUCACGAUGUCUGCUCUACGACCAUGAAUACCCACCUUGAUGUCUUUGGAAUGCAAGCUCCAGAGCCCUAUUUCCAGACACGUCCCUUUACCGAAAAUGUCAAUAUCCCGAUGGAGAAUGCUUAUGAUCAUCAACAGAUGAUGCACUUGAUGCCACCUGAGACUUUCAGCGGCAGUAAUUUCGUGUAUCCCACUUCUUCGCAGUGGUCUAAUGGAUAUAUACCUUCUAAUACGGACCUCUAUGGUACUAGCCUGGUAUCGAGAUCACCCUCAGACUCAUUCAAUCUCCCAAGUCCAGUCGACUACAACAGUUACUCUCCCCCUCAGUCCAAAUCUUCAUCUUCUUCGUGCUACAGCUCUCCAGCGCGGAUGGAUUUGAGCUCCAGUUUCUCUCCAGAAAAUUACCACUAUCAGCAUUGCAACCUACAGCAUUGCUUUUGUCUGUCGCAUUGGUCCAAUGUGCAGGAAGGCAUGGCAACCUCGGAGUUUGCGCCCUACGGCUCAUCAGACUGUUUGUAUUCAUAUGGCGACGACAGUAAUUUCAGAAGGGAUACUUCAAACUCAGAGAUGUGUUACUUAAAAAAUGCAUUUUGAAGCACUUUGCGCGAAUAUUCAGUGUCAUAAUUGAUUCAUUUGAAUGCAUGUGUUGUAUUUUAGUUUAGAUAAAAGAACAAGCAGUGAUAGAAUGAAUGAUUUACAAAUAAUUCAUUUAUCUUUUCUACAAUAAACAUAUUUUUUUCGUAAUUAUACUGGCAUUGGGGAAAUAUUUCAGAUUUACAGCGUGCAGUUUCUGUUUAGCUCUUGAAAUGUACAUCGGAGCUUCUAUAGUUUUUUUUAACGUACAAAUAGAGCUGUGGCACUGAGGGCUCAUUUAUUGUUUUGCAUAUCAACAUUCGACAUUAUGAAAAAUACCAGAAGAAAGCUUUACAAUUUGUUACUUAUGAAAACGGAUUUUGUCCUGUAACUAGCUGUUAACAUUUUUCUUUGCGC